rnacentral:rRNA from 1 species
CCUACGGGGGGCAGCAGUGGGGAAUAUUGGACAAUGGGCGAAAGCCUGAUCCAGCCAUGCCGCGUGUGUGAAGAAGGCCUUCGGGUUGUAAAGCACUUUCAGUGGGGAAGAAAGCCUUGGGGCUAAUACCCUCGAGGAAGGACAUCACCCACAGAAGAAGCACCGGCUAACUCCGUGCCAGCAGCCGCGGUAAUACGGAGGGUGCGAGCGUUAAUCGGAAUUACUGGGCGUAAAGCGCGCGUAGGCGGUCUGAUAAGCCGGUUGUGAAAGCCCCGGGCUCAACCUGGGAACGGCAUCCGGAACUGUCAGGCUAGAGUGCAGGAGAGGAAGGUAGAAGUCCCGGUGUAGCGGUGAAAUGCGUAGAGAUCGGGAGGAAUACCAGUGGCGAAGGCGGCCUUCUGGACUGACACUGACGCUGAGGUGCGAAAGCGUGGGUAGCAAACAGGAUUAGAUACCCCAGUAGUC